AGAUGAUAACCAUUUGUACCGAAGACAGCAGGUGUGGCUUGCCACUUAAUGCUCCUGCCGAGGACAAGACGCUCUUUUUUUAAAGAUGACGACUUUUCUGCCCUCAUGUCUUAGACAUUGAGGGCUUUUUAUAUCGGUAU
rfam:Sporosarcina sp. P33, complete genome.